rnacentral:rRNA from 1 species
UACAGAGGGGGCAAGCGUUGUUCGGAAUUACUGGGCGUAAAGGGCGCGUAGGCGGCCUGUUUAAGUCGGACGUGAAAUCCCUCGGCUCAACCGGGGAACUGCGUCCGAUACUGGCGGGCUUGAAUUCGGGAGAGGGAUGUGGAAUUCCAGGUGUAGCGGUGAAAUGCGUAGAUAUCUGGAGGAACACCGGUGGCGAAGGCGGCAUCCUGGACCAACACUGACGCUGAGUGAGCGAAAGCCAGGGGAGCAAACGGG